UUAAAGUAUAGUAUUUGCUCUUUAAAUUAUUUAAUUUGCUCCUGGUGUGCUAGAGUUCUUGAGGAGAAUCUGCUGGUCUUGAUUCACUGGUAGGGGCCUUCAAUGUUCCUGUUAGUGCCAAGAUCAGAAACAUGG